rnacentral:rRNA from 1 species
CCGCCGGCGACCGGCGCACGGGUGAGUAACACGUAUGCAACCUGGCCGUGACAGAUGGAUAACCGGGAGAAAUCCCGCCUAAUACAACAUAAUGCCGGGAGGGGACAUCCCCUGCCGGUCAAAGGGGGCGACCCCGGUCAUGGGUGGGCAUGCGGCGCAUUAGGUAGUUGGUGGGGCAACGGCCCACCAAGCCGACGAUGCGUAGGGGUUCUGAGAGGAAGGUCCCCCACAUUGGAACUGAGACACGGUCCAAACUCCUACGGAAGGCAGCAG